rnacentral:rRNA from 1 species
CCUUUGUACACACCGCCCGUCGCUACUACCGAUUGAAUGGCUCAGUGAGGCCUUCGGACUGGCCCAGGGGGGAAGGCAACGACCGCCCAGGGCCGGAAAGUUCGUCAAACUUGGUCAUUUAGAGG